GAUGAACGCUAUUGGGAGGCCUAACACAUGCAAGCCGAGCGGUAUUGUUUCUUCGGAAAUGAGAGAGCGGCGUACGGGUGCGGAACACGUGUGCAACCUGCCUUUAUCUGGGGGAUAGCCUUUCGAAAGGAAGAUUAAUACUCCAUAAUAUAUUGAACGGCAUCGUUUAAUAUUGAAAGCUCCGGCGGAUAGAGAUGGGCACGCGCAAGAUUAGCUAGUUGGUGAGGUAACGGCUCACCAAGGCGAUGAUCUUUAGGGGGCCUGAGAGGGUGAUCCCCCACACUGGUACUGAGACGCGGACCAGACUCCUACGGGAGGCAGCAGUGAGGAAUAUUGGUCAAUGGGUGCAAGCCUGAACCAGCCAUCCCGCGUGAAGGACGACUGCCCUAUGGGUUGUAAACUUCUUUUGUAUAGGGAUAAACCUACCCUCGUGAGGGUAGCUGAAGGUACUAUACGAAUAAGCACCGGCUAACUCCGUGCCAGCAGCCGCGGUAAUACGGAGGGUGCAAGCGUUAUCCGGAUUUAUUGGGUUUAAAGGGUCCGUAGGCGGACUUAUAAGUCAGUGGUGAAAGCCUGUCGCUUAACGAUAGAACUGCCAUUGAUACUGUAAGUCUUGAGUAUACUUGAGGUAGCUGGAAUAAGUAGUGUAGCGGUGAAAUGCAUAGAUAUUACUUAGAACACCAAUUGCGAAGGCAGGUUACCAAGAUAUAACUGACGCUGAGGGACGAAAGCGUGGGGAGCGAACAGGAUUAGAUACCCUGGUAGUCCACGCCGUAAACGAUGCUAACUCGUUUUUGGGCUUUAGGGUUCAGAGACCAAGCGAAAGUGAUAAGUUAGCCACCUGGGGAGUACGCUCGCAAGGGUGAAACUCAAAGGAAUUGACGGGGGCCCGCACAAGCGGUGGAUUAUGUGGUUUAAUUCGAUGAUACGCGAGGAACCUUACCAAGACUUAAAUGGGAAUUGACAGCUUUAGAAAUAGAGCUUUCUUCGGACAAUUUUCAAGGUGCUGCAUGGUUGUCGUCAGCUCGUGCCGUGAGGUGUUAGGUUAAGUCCUGCAACGAGCGCAACCCCUGUCACUAGUUGCCAUCAUUCAGUUGGGGACUCUAGUGAGACUGCCUACGCAAGUAGAGAGGAAGGUGGGGAUGACGUCAAAUCAUCACGGCCCUUACGUCUUGGGCCACACACGUAAUACAAUGGCCGGUACAGAGGGCAGCUACACAGCGAUGUGAUGCAAAUCUCGAAAGCCGGUCUCAGUUCGGAUUGGAGUCUGCAACUCGACUCUAUGAAGCUGGAAUCGCUAGUAAUCGCGCAUCAGCCAUGGCGCGGUGAAUACGUUCCCGGGCCU
rnacentral:rRNA from 1 species